UGAAAAACACCCCUUGACUGUCGGUCCUCAGUACUUCCUUUCUGCUCACCCAGAGUCUUCGAUCUUUUAUUGAUUAGCACAGGCAUCGCAUGAACCCCUUCUUAGGGCAAGGGACUAAAUCCAACAAGAGGUACCAUGUUGUUUUCAUUCCGCAAGGAUUUCACAGAUCUGAGAUCCACCUGCUGCGCAGGGGUACUGCGGAAAUGGGUCACUGGUGUGCCACGACCCUGGGCAUGUCCUCAGCCGUCGUCAGGUCAGUCAGGAUGCAGCCUGGGACACAGGAGUGCACUUCAGAUGGUCUCCCUUGCUGAGCUGUGAGCUCCCAGCGCUCAGAUGGAAUCUUCCUCUCCUUGGCAUGGACUUGAGCAACCCGCCCUGCUCCUGUCCUGCGGCCACAUCUACAUCACACGUUCAGAAGACGAGGCUGAGAGGGACUCCGUAUUGUCAAGGCAAGUGUGGGAUGCAGCACGCAGACCAACUUCGGAAUCCAGGAAAUACCCUUGACCGUGUCCAAGUGAGGCUCAUGUCCCCUGAGGAUGGCACUAAACGCAACAGAGGUAACGGGGCCUCCGAAGGAAGGACUUGUGGCCUUAAAGUACCCGGUCCCCUGGUACAGGAGGUGCCAGGCUGCCAGCAGUUACUUAGGAUGGGCUUUGCUUGAUAUAUGAGAGUGAAAACCAGGAAAUGCGGCCCAGUUUCUCUUUUGAAAUCCCUCCCUUGGUUAGAUUUGAAUCUCAUGUCUGUAUGCUUUGUUUCAAACUAAAUAUCAAAAGUCUCUCGCUUCUGUUAUCUCCCUGACAGUUCUUCAAUAUACUGUAUUAAAAACUCUCCGGGGACCAAAAAAAUGCACUUUCAAGUGGUGUUUAGAAACUUGCCACUCCUUGCCUUUCUUCAUUUCUGAAUCUCUUGGAUGCUUCAUAAACAAAGGAGAAAAGUGCUGCUUCUGUGAUAAAUACGUACACAGGAUUCCUCUGUCUUACAGAGAAAACAGUACAGACCCAGCUGUUUCCCAAUAGUCAUAGGACUCAUACCUAAUGCCGACAGACUACCAAGCAUAUUUGCACAAACUCUAUCACACACAGCACAUGGAAUCUCCAGGUGUGGCCGUGAAAGAAAACGGCAUGUUCUCCUUGUCAAAGUGCCCUCUCCUUGCCAGCCCCCUGCACCAAACUAACAACCACAGGACCUGAAUUUAACAGGUGAUGUUUCCCUUUGUUCUUCUGGAUGUUAUGUAUACUCAGGAGUAGCUCUCUCUGGGUUGUUCAAACACUUCAUUUAUUUAUUUAGUAUUUACUGAGUAUCUACUAUGUACCCCACAUAGUCAUGGAUUAAAGAGAUUCUUGCUUAGCUUCUGUAUUAGGAUUUCUCAACCUUGGUACUGUUGCCAUUUUGAGCCAGAUAAUUCUUUGUCAUGAGGCUGUUCCAUGCCUGGUAGGAUGUUUAGCAGCAUCCCUGGCCUCUACACACAAGAUACCGGCAGCACCUCCACCCCUAGUCGUG